rnacentral:rRNA from 1 species
GACGAACGCUGGCGGCGUGCUUAACACAUGCAAGUCGAACGGACGGGCCCUGCUUUUGUGCGUUGCUCGAGUGGCGAACGGGUGAGUAACACGUGAGUAACCUGCCCUUGACUUUGGGAUAACUUCAGGGAACUGGGGCUAAUACCGGAUAGGAGCUCCUGCUGCAUGGUGGGGGUUGGAAAGUUUCGGCGGUGGUGGAUGGACUCGCGGCUUAUCAGCUUGUUGGUGGGGUAGUGGAUUACCAAGGCUUUGACGGGUAGCCGGCCUGAGAGGGUGACCGGCCACAUGGGGACUGCGAUAGGGCGCAGACGCCUACGGGACGCAGCAGUGGGGAAUAUUGCACAAUGGGCGGAAGCCUGAUGCAGCAACGCCGCGUGCGGGAUGACGGCCUUCGGGUUGUAAACCGCUUUCGCCUGUGCCGAAGCGUGAGUGACGGUAAUGGGUAAAGAAGCACCGGCUAACUACGUG